CUACGGGUCGCAGCAGUGAGGAAUAUUGCACAAUGGGGGGAACCCUGAUGCAGCAACGCCGCGUGGAGGAUGACGCAUUUCGGUGUGUAAACUCCUUUUAUAUGUCAAGAAAAUGACGGCAGCAUAUGAAUAAGCACCGGCUAACUCCGUGCCAGCAGCCGCGGUAAUACGGAGGGUGCAAGCGUUACUCGGAAUCACUGGGCGUAAAGGACGCGUAGGCGGGUUGGAAAGUCAGGUGUGAAAUCCUACAGCUUAACUGUAGAACUGCACUUGAAACUUCUAAGCUAGAGUAUGGGAGGGGGGGAUGGAAUUAGUGGUGUAGGGGUAAAAUCCGUAGAUAUCACUAGGAAUACCUAAAGCGAAGGCGAUCUCCUGGAACAUUACUGACGCUAAGGCGUGAAAGCGUGGGGAGCAAACAGGAUUAGAUACCCCUGUAGUC
rnacentral:rRNA from 1 species